UUCAUAAGCUUGAAGUGAGACCAUUCAGCAUAAUUCUAUAUCUUUCUCCAGCCACUGUUAGUGGAGGGUGGAGGUUUGGCAUUGGCAGAGAGUUGCAUUUUAACCAAGAUUCUAGUUGUCCAAGUAAGUAUGAUAAAUCUGAAAACAGGCAAAAGAGUCAAGGGUAUACAUAAGGGACCAGUUACAAAGUUUGGUCUUGGAAUUUAAGCUUGGCAAGUAGGAUAAGGAUAAGCAGUAGUGGAAUUGUGGUAGAUCAGUGGAUUGGAGGUCCCAGUGAAUUGGAAUGAUGAUUGGGAAUGGGAUAGUACAAGGAGUGAUCUGGGAAGAUUGGAGGUGGUGGUCAGAGGGUGGAAUGCAUGACUUUGACAUUAGAAAGAGUUGCAUUUAUUUGUAAUGACGUGGUCUUAAGGCAAUGAUCAUGAUUAGAGGCUGUGGUAGAUGUGGUAGAAUGGUUAACAUGGUCAAUGGAGAAGAGAAGAGAAAGUUCAAGGAACUGAAAGGCCAGGGUGUGGGCAUGAUGAUCUACUUGUGUAUUCAUAGGUUCAAGAAUUAAGGCAGGAGUAGCUCUGGAGGGUACAACUAUGAAUCAGGAUCUAGAGUCAAGAGAAAUGAAAAGAAAGCAGAGUCAUUAACCAAUGAGUGAUAUAUGAUGAUGUUAGAUUCAAGCUGGCACUUCCAGGGGAGAGAGAGGGAGCAGUGUCUGAAAGUCAUGAGGAGCAAGGGUGACACCUACUCCUCUCCAGGCUUGAAGAUCUGAAGGCUCCAAAAGGAAAAGCAGUCUCCAAUUGGAAGGUUGAUAGGGUAUUCUCAAGAAAGCCAGGUUUUGAUGAAAGUAAGAAGGUGAAGGGGGUGUUCAAAGCAUGUUUGUGAAAAUAGAGGUGCGGCAUCCAGCCAUCAAGAUGAUACCCAGUGAUCCUUACUGCCAGAUACCUGGUUCUUAGUGAAUCCAGCCACCAGACCAUGAGGACACUCAGGAAGCCCUGUCGAGAGGCCCUUAUGGAGAGGAAGAGAAGUUUCCCCCAACAACUACCACAAACUUGCCAGUAUGCAAGUGAGCUACAUUAAAAGCAGAUAAAAGCAGAUCCUUUCAGUCAAACUUUCAGAUGACUGCAGCCUUGUAAGAGAUGCCAAGCUGAAAGUGUCUAACCAAGCCAUCACCUGACUUUUAAUCUGCAAAAACUGUGCUAUAUACUAAAUGAUUAUUUUUAUUUUA